UACGGUAGGGUGCGAGCGUUAAUCGGAAUUACUGGGCGUAAAGCGUGCGCAGGCGGUUAUGCAAGACAGAUGUGAAAAUCCCCGGGCUCAACCUGGGAACUGCAUUUGGGACUGCAAGGCUGGAGUACGGCAGAGGGAGGUGGAAUUCCACGUGUAGGCAGUGAAAUGCGUAGAGAUGUGGAGGAACACCGAUGGCGAAGGCAGCCUCCUGGGCUAGUACUGACGCUCAUGCACGAAAGCGUGGGGAGCAAACAGG
rnacentral:rRNA from 1 species